UCGAGAAUCUUUGUCAAUGGACGAAAGUCUGAACAAGCGACGCCGCGUGCGGGAUGAAGGCCUUCGGGUUGUAAACCGCUGUCAGUUGGGAGGAAAGGGAUGUGCAGAGCAUCUCUUGACCGAUCUUCAGAGGAAGGACGGGCUAAGUUCGUGCCAGCAGCCGCGGUAAGACGAACCGUCCAAACGUUAUUCGGUAUCACUGGGCUUAAAGCGUGCGUAGGCGGCUUGGUAGGUCAGAUGUGAAAGCCCACGGCCCAACCGUGGAAUUGCGUUUGAAACCAUCAAGCUCGAGGAAGGUAGGGGUGAUCGGAACUUAUGGUGGAGCGGUGAAAUGCGUUGAUAUCAUAGGGAACACCGGUGGCGAAAGCGGAUCACUGGAUCUUUUCUGACGCUGAGGCACGAAAGCUAAGGUAGCGAACGGGAUUAGAUACCCCCGUAGUCC
rnacentral:rRNA from 1 species